GCAUGGAGUAGGAGUAAAGUGCUGUGAGAUCGGCCUAUUUGUGUUUGUCACUGGAUGUCUCCAACCGGUCCCCGUCGAUGGAAAGUGCGAUGGUUGUUCCGCACUUGAACCUUUGAGAACCGGAGUAUAAAGACAGCGCAGACAGUGGCAGAGCAUUUCCAUCCGGAUGGUUACUGAUGUCGCCGAAGGGAUAGACUUCAAACACGUAUACACAUUUACAACAUUAGCAGCUAAGUAAAACCAAUAGUUUUAAGUAGAUACUGGGUGGGUUAAUAAAUGGGAUAUGCAUGUUAA